rnacentral:rRNA from 1 species
ACAUGCAAGUCGNUGGGUGAACGAGCAGCCGGACGGUGAGUAUGUUGGGAACUGCCUGAUGGAGGAGGAUAACUACUGGAAACGGUAGCUAAUACCGCAUAACGUCUUCGGACCAAAGUGGGGGACCUUCGGGCCUCACGCCAUCAGAUGAGCCCAGAUGGGAUUAGCUAGUAGGUGGGGUAAUGCCUCACCUAGGCGACGAUCCCUAGCUGGUCUGAGAGGAUGACCAGCCACACUGGAACUGAGACACGUCCAGACUCCUACGGGAGGCAGCAGUGGGGAAUAUUGGACAAUGGGCGAAAGCCUGAUCCAGCCAUGCCGCGUGUGUGAAGAAGGUCUUCGGAUUGUAAAGCACUUUAAGUUGGGAGGAAG